rnacentral:lncRNA from 1 species
UGGUUUUUAACCUUAUGGUCCACUUAGCCUACAACAAGUCACAGUAAAACAUGAACAUUUUUAACCAUAACAUUUUAUACAUUUUUUUUGUAUAAAAUCUAAAUGGACCAAAAAGAGACAAUAAAAUAAACUGUCAAUGGCAAUGUGAGAAAAUUAUGGUAACUAAUCUGGCCCAAAUUCAGGUAUUUUUUUUAAAUGUAAACCAGGGCGGGAUAAGCCAGCGGGGGCUUCCAGCAUGCGCGAUUCAUUUGCAGUCUGGACGCAGAGGGAUGAGCAUCUCCUGCUCUGACUGCAGCUGGGAGGGACUGCUGUGCGAGGACUGGGCUGCCUGUGAGUGCUUUGGGAUAGGCUGCUCGUUGAGAAGAGCAGAGCAGGCAACAGAUGGCACAGACAGCAGAGUUGGGGACAGAUGCAGGGACAGACUGGCAGAGACAGGAAGUCUCAGCUCUGGGGAACAGGGGAAGGAGCCUCCAGGACCCAGGCCACUGCCACUGCUUGGUAACAUGCUCCAGCUGGACCUCAAGAAGCCCUACUGCACUCUCUGCGAGGAUACAAGACGGUCAAGCAGGCGCUGGUGAAUCAGGACUUUGGGGACCGGGACAUCACUCCUGUGCUCAGUGAACUAAACCAAGGACAUGGGAUUCUGUUUUCCAAUGGAGACUCAUGGAAAGAGAGGCUCUUUGCCCUGACAAACCUUAGACUUUGGGAUGGGCAAGAAACUGAGCAAGGAGAAAAUCUUAGAGGAAAUUCACUACCUGACUGAAGUGUAUGAAAAACCUGAGGGUAAGGCAUUUGACACCGCCCAGCCUAUGAUUUAUGCCGUCUUCAACAUAAUCUCGGCCAUUGUCUAUGGCAGAAGGUUUGAAUACACUUACCAGAAUUUGCAUCUCAUGCAUAUUUAAUAACGUGUUGAAUUAAUAUUGCUCAGUAUAACUAUAGAAUCGAAUUAAUCGAUAAGGUUCGAGGGGGUGUGGUAUAUGUCCAAUUUACCACAGCUAAGGGCUGUUCUUAGGCGCAGUGCCUGGAUACAGCCCUUAGCUGUGGUAUAUUGGCCAUAUACCACAAACCCAAAGGUGCCUUGUUGGUACUAUAAACUGUUAACCAACAUAAUUAGAACGGUAAACUAGUAAUUUUGCAUCAUACCGGCCAAUCAGCAUCCAGGAUCCAAAAAAGAAAAGAAAACCAGCCCUGUCGCAGACCACGAUGUCUUACUCCCAGACAAACGAAAUAACUUAUUUUCUCGCUUUGAGGACAAUACAGUGCCACCGACACGGCCCGCUACCAAAACCUGCGGGCUCUCCUUCACUGCAGCCAACGUGAGUAAAACAUUAAAACGUGUUAACCCUCACAAGGCUGCCGGCCCAGAUGGCAUCCCUAGCCGCGUCCUCAGAGCAUGCGCAGACCAGCUGGCUGGAGUGAGUACGGACAUAUUCAACCCUUAUCCCAGUCUACUGUUCCCACAUGCUUCAAGAGGGCGACCACUGUUCCUGUUCCCAAGAAAGCUAAGGUAAUUGAGCUAAAUGACUAUCACCCCGUAGCACUCAAUUCCGUCAUCACGAAGUGCUUUGAGAGGCUAGUCAAGGACCAUAUCACCUCCACCCUACCUGACGCCCUAGACCCACUCCAAUUUGCUUACCACACCAAUAGGUCCACAGACGAUGCAAUCGCAAUCACACUGCACACUGCCCUAACCCAUCUGGACAAGAGGAAUACCUAUGUAAGAAUGCUGUUCAUCGACUACAGCUCAGCAUUUAACACCAUAGUACCCUCCAAACUUGUCAAUAAGCUCGAGACCCUGGGUCUCGACCCCGCCCUGUGCAACUGGGUCCUGGACUUCCUGACGGGCCGCCCCCAGGUGGUGAGGGUAGGAAACAUCUCCACCCCGCUGAUCCUCAACACUGGGGCCCCACGAGGGUGUGUUCUCAGCCCUCUCCUGUACUCCCUGUUCACCCAUGACUGAGUGACCAUGCACGCCUCCAACUCAAUCAUCAAGUUUGCAGACAGUGGUAGGCUUGAUUACCAACAACGCCGAGACGGCCUACAGGGAGGAGGUGAGGGCCGGGGUCAGGAAAAUAACCUCAUACGCAAUGUCAACAAACUAAGGAGAAGAUCAUGGACUUCAGGAAACAGCAGAGGGAGCAGCCCCCUAUCUACAUUGACAGGACAGUAGUGGAGAAGGUGGAAAGUUCCUCGGCGUACACAUCAUGGACAAACUGAAAUGGUCCACCCACACAGACAGCGUGGUGAAGAAGGCGCAGUAGCGCCUCUUCAACCUCAGGAGCCUGAAGAAAUUCGGCUUGUCACCAAAAACACUCAAACUUUUACAGAUGCACAAUCGAGAUGCACAUUGAGGUCUGCACAACGCAUCACUGGGGGCAAACUAAUUGCCCUCCAGGACACCUACACCACCCGAUGUCACAGGAAGGCCAUAAAGAUCAUCAAGGACAACAACCACCCGAGCCACUGCCUGUUCACCCCGCUAUCAUCCAGAAGGCGAGGUCAGUACAGGUGCAUCAAAGCUGGGACCGAGAGACUGAAAAACAGCUUCUAUCUCAAGGCCAUCAGACUGUUAAACAGCCAUCACUAACACUGAGUGGCUGCUGCCAACAUUCUGACUCAUCUCUAGCCACUUUAAUAAUGUAAAAAUUGGAUGUAAUACAUGUAUCACUAGCGUUAAACAAUGGCACUUUAUAUAAUGCUUACAUACUCUAUACAAUCUACUGCAUCUUGCCUAUGCCGUUCAGCCAUUGCUCAUCCAUAUAUUUUUAUGUACAUAUUCUUAUUCAUUCCUUUACACAUGUGUGUGUAUAAGGUAGUUGUUGUUGAAUUGUUAGAUUACUUGUUAGCUAUUACUGCAUGGUCGGAACUAGAAGCACAAGCAUUUUGCUACACUCGCAUUAACAUCUGCUAACCAUGUGUAUGUGACAAAUAAAAUUCGAUUUGAUUUGAACUCAGUUUAUAAUUCUAAUUAUACCACCAUGUGGUGCACUUGGAUCCUGCAGCAGAACACAAUUCAUUUGACUUGUCCAACACUACCAUACCAAUGUGCACAGAUGUCAAUUCAACGUGUAUUCAACAUUGGUUCAACGUAAUUUCAUUGAAGUUAAGUAGAAACAACGUAGAUUCAUCCAGUGUGUGCCCAGUAUACAUAUGACUGAAUGCCAGAUGAGGGAGGAUAGAAUUACAGUUCUUAUCAGCAGAAUUUCAUGUAAACUCACAGACUCAAACACUAAAACACUUCCUCUAGCUGCUUUAAUAGAAUAUGUUGAUUAUCUGUGAAUAACUUAUAACAGAUCCUUAAGUAACUGUAGUACAUAAUUCAUGUGUCAUCUGAGGGUCUGUUUCUUUUAGGAAUCUGGCAAUAUGGCAAUAUAGAUUCUUUGUACCAUGAUAACAACCUGGUAUUUAGUGUUACUGUCAGUGGAAUUUUCUAUCCCAAUGAUAGUAAUUAACAAUCAAUAAGCUUUGACUAUUCCCCAAGGUUUGUAAGACACUGGGUUAAGAAUAAUUAGGCAAGGACUCAGCUGUCUGCAAAAGGUCUGUACAGUUUAUUCAGAGAACGUUCUGAAGUACAUUACACAAAGAUGUUCAUUUUAUGCUCACUCCCCGCUUACGCACAUACCUACACACAAACAAUAGAUAUCCUACGCACAUACAUACAAUUCACCUACUGUUCGUAUGUAUCCCUCCCCGGACUUCUCACCACUGUUAAUCACUAUCCAGUGCUGUCUGUUCCUUUCCCCCGAGAUUCGAGAAACCUUGAGGGUCACUCCCUUUCUUCUCUAAGUUACUCAAAGUUCCUCAGCUGCCGGGUCAAUCGCAGUCUACUUGUUGUUAUCUUAGGCCCACUAAAACACACACACACACACACACACAUUUUGUCCCAGGCCUCUAAUAGAUAUGGGCCUGUUAUGGGCCUGUCGAUUAGUACUUUAAUUAUUCAUUAUACAUGCUACAUAACUACUAAUUACUAAUUGGUUACGUGAUUCUUUAUUUUAUUCAUUUACCUUUAUUAUAUAAUUCCCUUAUCAGUUACUACCCUGUUUGGUGCUGGUACCGACACCACCGGGACAACCCUGCGCUGGGGUCUGCUGCUGAUGGCCAGGUACCCCCAUAUACAGGGUAAGGAUUGAUGUAAACACAAACGCAUGCACGCACACUCACCACAGGCUGCUGAGGGGAGGACGGCUCAUAAUAAUGGCUGGAAUGGAGUGGUACCGACACCACCGGGACAACCCUGCGCUGGGGUCUGCUGCUGAUGGCCAAGUACCCCCAUAUACAGGGUAAGGAUUGAUAUAAACACACACAGUUCUUGCCAUACAGUCGUGGGCCAAAAGUUUUGAGAAUGACAUAAAUAUUAAUUUCCACAAAGUUUGCUGCUUCAGUGUCUUUAGAUAUUUUUGUCAGAUGUUACUAUGGAAUACUGAAGUAUAAAUACAAGCAUUUCAUAAGUGUGAAGGCUUUUAUUGACAAUUACAUGAAGUUGAUGCAAAGAGCCAAUAUUUGCAGUGUUGACCCUUCUUUUUCAAGAUCUCUGCAAUCCGCCCUGGCAUGCUGUCAAUUAACUUAUGGGCCAUAUCCUGACUGAUGGCAGCCCAUUCUUGCAUAAUCAAUGCUUGGAGUUUGUCAGAAUAUGUGGGUUUUUGUUUGUCCACCCGCCUCUUGAGGAUUGACCACAAGUUCUCAAUGGGAUUAAGGUCUGGGGAGUUUCCUGGCCAUGGACCCAAAAUAUCAAUGUUUUGUUCCCCGAGCCACUUAGUUAUCACUUUUGCCUUAUGGCAAGGUGCUCCAUCAUGCUGGAAAAGGCAUUGUUCGUCACCAAACUGUUCCUGGAUGGUUGAGAGAAGUUGCUCUUGGAGGAUGUGUUGGUACUAUUCAUUAUUCAUGGCUGUGUUCUUAGGCAAAAUUGUGAGUGAGCCCACUCCCUUGGCUGAGAAGCAACCCCACACAUGAAUGGUCUCAGGAUGCUUUACUGUUGGCAUGACACAGGACUGAUGGUAGCGCUCACCUUGUUUUCUCCGGACAAGCUUUUUCCGGAUGCCCCAAACAAUCGGAAAGGGGAUUCAUCAGAGAAAAUGACUUUACCCCAGUCUUCAGCAGUCCAAUCCCUGUACCUUUUGCAGAAUAUCAGUCUGUCCCUGAUGUUUUUCCUGGAGAGUGUUACGUUCCCCAGUUUCUGUUGUGGUUUGUGUAUUUUCAUGUAUGUAUUUCAGGAAAUGGAUUCCUGAAAUGCUCUACAAGCAGCUGAUUGGUCAGCCCCAUUGAUGAUUGGAUAGCUGACCCCGCCCCCUCGUCAGGACGCAGCUGUCUCCAAUUACCAACUCCUUCUGAAGCUUUAUAAGCCAGUGUUCUGUUCCUCAGAAGGGAGAUGAUUGCUGAGAGAGAGAGGAGGCUGAUGGCUAUUAUGUUGGUUGUUGCUGGGGAGCUGAUUGGUAAAUUCUUUGUUGUUCAGAGUUUGGUUAAGUAUUGUGUAGGAGCUGAUUGGUUAUGUCUGUUGUGUCAAUAGGACGAAGUGUUUUGAUUAUUGAAAUUGUUUGAGUUAUUCUGUUGCAUUUGUUCCCAGGGGGGAAGGGGAAGGCACCUAGGGAGUGCUUAGGCAAGAGACCCACGGGCAUACAUAACCUGUAGUAUUUACUGUCUAUGCACACUAGGAAAGAUCUGGGUGGACCAUCCCCUGUAUUUUGGUUAGUGCACCAAGUGGUGUUAGUUAGGUAAGUAGUGGGUAGGCAGGUAAGGUGUGGGGGGGGCUUUGAUAUUUAAUUUCUUUGCUUUGGUUCCGUCCAGCCCAUUCCCAAAAAUUACCGUGCGACAGAAUAAAUUCCCUCUAAAUGGUAAUUCUCUGCCUUUUGUCAUCCUUACUCACACCUACAGUCCAUACCUCUUUCACACCACGGAGAGUUGAGUUGUAGCAGGGUGUUGCGUUACCUCUUCCUAGAGGCGUGCGUAACAGAGAGAAGUGGCUUCUUUGCUGCCCUUGUUGACACCAGGCUAUCCUCAAACUUCUAGAUGCUUUGAGAGCUUAGUUAAAGGGACAAUCUGCGUUCAAACAAAAUUUGUCAUCUCUCCCAUGUCCUAUUCGACUAGAAGUUGUUCUGAAAUAUGUAUUACUUGCCUACAUUUUACUCCCUCCUCUUCAUUCCUUCACCUUACCGUGAAAUGCUUACUUACAAUCCCUUAAACAACAAUGCAGUUCAAGAAAUACAGUAAAGAAAAUAUUUACUAAAUAAACAAAAAAAGUAACACAAAAUAACAAAAACGAGGCUAUAUACAGGGGAUACUGGUACCGAGACAAUGUGCAGGGGUACAUGUUAGUCGAGGUAAUUUCUACAUGGAGGUAGGGGUAAAGUGACUAUGCAUAGAUAAUAAACAGCGAGUAGCAGCAG